ACCGGGAGAAAAAGAGUGCGAGGAACAGAGACAGAGAAAGAAAAGGGAAGUGAGAGGGAAAGCGAAAGAAAUACAAAGAAAGAGAGUCAGAGUGAGAGGGGGAGAGAAAACAAAAAGUUAAAAAAUAAUAAAAAAGACAAAGCGCCCCCUGGACUUGGUUCACUAAUGGCAAGUCAAAACCGAUGCAUAACAACGGAGUCGCUACUGUGGCUGUGGUUUUAUUUAAAGUGAAAGAAUCCAUCGCUGAAAUAUGAUAAAAACAAGUUAAAAGUUUAUUUUGGCCUUUAAUUAAAAAAUAUAUUUAGUUUUUCAAUAAGAUUCGUGUUCCACGUUAAGUUUUUCGUGUGUGGAACUGUGCUUUAAUGAUGAUCGGUUAGUUAGGUCUGCCGACUAUUGCCAUAAAUAGCUGAGACUGGUGUUAGGAAAUUAAGAGGAUGGAAUUGUGAACACCAAGCAGGACUUAUUAUUAUUUAAUCUAUUAUUAUUAACACACGUUGACGCAGGGAAAAAUUAUAGACAGGAGAAAAACAAUCACAUCAAAGUUUAUUGCUUUUUAUUAACCGAUUUCUUGAGGAUUAAAAAAAAAAAAGAUAAAAACAUUAAUUUGUUGGACUUUGGAAGACUUUAUCACGAAAUUGGAAUUGUUCCAUGGAACUGUCAUUGUGAGCUUAUGAAAGUUUCAACAGUGGGCACAUGAAUCUGACAAAGCUAUGUUUCACAUUAUAUGAUUUCAAACAGCUGGUUCUAACUGUUAAUGCAGAAUACCUUCUGGUUUGCCUUGCUGUGCUGCCCAUCUUCUCAUGAGGGUGAUGUAUGGUCCUGGACCAAUAGGAUUACCGCUUCAGGGUGAUGAAGUGGCCAAGAAAUAGUAGAGCGUCUGACCAAAUAAAUGUCUUGCAGUAUUUGGUCAUGUCCUUUUAUGUUCUGAGUUCAAAUCCUGCCGAAGUCAACUUAGCUUUUCAUCCCUCCGAUCUUGAUAAAAUACGCACCAGUUAUGUACUGGGGUCAAAUCAAUCGACUAUACCCUUCCUCUACACAUUUGUGGCCUUGUGACAAUAUUGGAGUGGCCAGUCUUAGUAUGUCACAUGGUGGUCAUCGACCUGAGGAAAUGAAGUCUGACUCUGUACACCCUCACAUUGCCGGUCACCAUCAUCAUCCUGGUCAUCACCAUGCAGCAGAGGAAGAAGAGUAUGUUAUCGAAGUGGACAGUGAUCUAAGCCCCACAGGGCCAGACAUUAUCAGGGAGGUGGAUCAUGACCACCACAAUGUAAAAGUGAAAUUGAAACGGAGGCGGCGUUGUGGAAUUUGUGGUCCUUGUCAAAUCAAGCAGAACUGCGGCCGUUGUCACUACUGUCUGCGUCGGGAUGUCUUAAAGCAGACAUGUGUCUACCGCAAGUGUGUCUACUUGAGGAGCAAACCACGGAGCAUGAGUCCAAAGGAGAAUGUUUCUAUGUCUGCUCUCAACUUGCAGUCAGGACUUGGCGUUGCCACACCAACGGACCUUAGCAUCCGAACCAGCCUAACGCAAACUACUUCAGGGACGUCUUCAAAUGACUUUCAAGGGCUCUCGUCUAUGUACCACCAUCCAGAUCUUGAUUCGAGAGCCUUCACUGGUAGUUCGCCCUCAAUUCCAUUGCAUCAUGAUCCGGUCAUCCCGUCAAGGAUGAACCCAUAUAUGGGAGGUGCCCACACUGGACCUUACCCAAUCAAUAUGUUUCCUAGCAGCAGUUUAGCUGCCAACUCAAGUUUACCAAGUCCAUUUCAGAUGGGUAGCUGUAGUAAUAGCCCGUUCCGGUAUCCUUGGAUGCCCGGUUCAUUUGCAAGACCAUCUGUUGUGUCCAGUCCCACUGAUCUUCUCCGGCCAUCGCCAUCUUGGCCUCCCCCUCCGCCACCAACUCAUGGACUUUCCUCCACGCACCAAAGAAUGGCUUCAGACUUUGGUGCAAACUCAUUUCAAAAGGAUAUGCCAUUUAUGAAACGGCGCUCCCAACAGGAUCUUUUGCAAAAUAGACAGAGACUUCCAUCUUGUAGCAGAUCGCUGGCUCCAAUGUGUGGAAGUUCCCCUAGUGGGUGUGAGACCCCAGCUUGUUUCAACUCGGAUGCAUUGGUAAUGCGUGAAAAAUACAGCUGUUUCCCUGGGCAGGGCUCUCGAUCUAUAGGCUGCGACAAUAGUGGUCACAUGACAUCAGGGACUUUGAAUAGUAGCUACAACCGAGGAUGUGCAUCGUCACAGCAUGAGUGUGACGUCAUCGGCAUUGACGAUUUGCAGUGGCUACCUGGUACAUUUUCCGCAUCUACUGCAGGCGUGCAUGAGCUGAAGCAGUAACUGCACCGUAGAGUGUGCAAUGGCUGACAAUACACAAACACAUGCACUCACAUCAACACUGAGAAAGAGAGAGAUAAAAAGAGAGAGGGACAUGCACAAGCAUAUAUAUAUAUAUAUAUACAUAUAUAUAUCCAUACAUUUGUGUGUGCGUGUAUGUAUGUGUGUGCAUAUAUAUAAAUAUGCAGACAUACACAUGCUUACGCAUUCACACACACAUAUUUGCACAGAUAUGUAUUUACACAUACAUAUAUAUUUUUAUAUAUUCAUGUACACACAUACAUACAUACAUACAUACAUACAUGCUUACAUACAUAUGCACAUGUGUGUAUAAACGAGUAAUUUCACUCAGGAGUUUAUUUUAUAUAUAUAUAUAUAUAUGUAUGUAUAUGGGUUUUAUGUACCCAUGUGUACAUAUCUGAUGUGUAUAUAUGAAAGUAUAUGUAUGUGUGUGUUUAUUUUACAUAUAUAUAUAUAUAUGUACACACAUACACACACAACACAUACAUAUGCAUAUAUAUAUGUAUUGAGAAAUGAGGGAGAAUGUAAAAAUAAAGGAAGAGAAAUACAGAAAACAUAAUAUGAAGCUGAACUGAUGCAAGGAAAUGGAAUACACUGGUAAUUGUCCCCUGUUGGUGGCAUCCGUUGAUGAACUUACACAAGUAUUUGGAAACAGCAGCAGCACAAUUCUAUGUAUCCCAGUUAACCAUUCUGAUAUGCUUAUGGCAGUUUACCAACAAGUGGAUACCAAGGUGAAGCUGCUUUGUUGGUCACAGUUUCCACCAGUUCUUCUUCUGCAAAAGUAUUGGCUCACCAGUUAUCUGUGGUGUAUUAGAUACGAUAUUAAUUUGUCUCUCUAUAUACUCUUCACACACACACACACAUAUAUUUGGAAGCCAUCUUUACUACCCAUUACUUUGUGUUUAUUCCCUAUAUUUUUCGCUUCCCUGUCUUUAGUAGACUUUCUCCCCUGCUAACAUCUUACUUCACUAAUUUACUAAAAUAACAUGCUUUACCAGCUCUUGCUCACAAUCCACUUACAUCAACUGACGCACACACACACACACUCCUUUUUUUUUUUACUUACCCCAUUAUGCCUUUUUCUUUCUUUGUAAUUAUGCUUACUAAAUUCUAGAAUGCUAUUGUAUCUGCUUCAAAAACUAAAGCUAGGUACCACUGUUACCACCACCACUACUAUUAAUAACUUUACUGCGGAUGCACGAUAUAAUUAUAUCUCCAAUAUAACUGAUAGGGUGAAAGCACAUGGCCUUGUGGUUAGGGGUGUUGCACUCACAAUUGCAAGAUUGUGGUUUCAAUUACUGGACCAAGCGGUGCAUUGUGUUCUUCAGAGUCUUCAAUGGAGCAGUAUCCUAUUCAGGGGGUAACAUUGUGAUUUUGGUCUCUUAUACACCUUGCAAACCAGGCUGCUGACCCUAAGUGCUCAAGGGCUCAAUGUAGUAAUGCCCAGGGGUUACAUCAUAGCUGUUAAGAAAUACUGUUGCCAGAAAAGUUGUGGUAGAGUGCCAGGCUAUAAAUGUAAUUGCUGUAUUUUAAAUUUUCAAACCCCUAAAGUUUGAGUUCAAAUUUUACUUAGGGCCAACAUUGGUUAUCCUUUUUCUCUGAGAUUGAGAACAAUACGUACCAGUAAUAUACUGGGUGAUCGGUCUUAUCCCAUACACAACUGUGGCCUUCUGCUGUGCCAGUGUGGCAUGCUACUAAUAUUAUUGCUGCUGUUACUAUUGCUACUACUGCUGCUGCUGCUGCGGGUGCUGCUUCAGAGCCCUGUCCUUACUCUAUAAAUCUGUGCAGCAAGCUUCAUAGAGAGCAUCUUUUGGUGGAAGGUGUUGUAAGUUCUAAUCCUUUUAUAGUCACUUCUGCAAAAUAAAUAAAUAAAAUUUGGUAAGAGAGCAUCACUUCUUUUUUUUUUUUGGUUUUCUGCAUUUUUUUUUUCUCUUGUGUGUGUGUGUGUGUGUGUGUGUGUAUUUGGUAACGGUGUAUUGUGUUCUUUUACUUGUUUAGGGCAUUAGACUGCGGCCAUGCUGGGGCACCUCCUUGAAGAAUUUUUGGUUGAAUGAAUCAACCCCAGUACUUCCCUGUCCCCCUUUUUUUUCCCAUCCUGGUACUUAUUCUGUCAGUCUCUUUUGCCAAACUGCUAAGUGAUAGGGAUGUAAACACACCAAAACCAGUUGUCAUGCAAUGGUGGGGUGACAAUCAUAGGCACAAACAGAUACAUAUAUAUAUAUAUAUAUAUAUAUAUAUAUAUAUAUAUACAGACGCACACACACACACAC